CUUGGUCAAUUAGAGGAAGUAAAAGUCGUAACAAGGUUUCCGUAGGUGAACCUGCGGAAGGAUCAUUAUCGUAAAACCGAGGUGCGAGGGCUGUCGCUGACCUUUUCGGUCGUGCACGCCCGAGCGCUCUCACACAAUCCAUCUCACCCCUUGUGCACCACCGCGUGGGUCCCUUUCUGGCUCGUCCGGAGGGGGGCUCGCGUUUUCACACAAACUUGAAGUAGUGUAGAAUGUCCUUUUUUUUGCGAUAACACGCAAUCAAUACAACUUUCAACAACGGAUCUCUUGGCUCUCGCAUCGAUGAAGAACGCAGCGAAAUGCGAUACGUAAUGUGAAUUGCAGAAUUCAGUGAAUCAUCGAAUCUUUGAACGCACCUUGCGCCCCUUGGCAUUCCGAGGGGCACACCCGUUUGAGUGUCGUGAAAUUCUCAAAACCCUUUCUUUUGGUCAUUUUCGACCGCGGAAAGGAUUUUGGACUUGGAGGCCUUUUGCUGGUUUCACCUUGAAGCGAGCUCCUCCCAAAUGUAUUAGUGGGGUCUGCAUUGUCGGUCCUUGGCGUGAUAAGUUGCUUCUACGUCUUGGAUUUUUGGCGCUGUACACCUGCUUCUAACCGUCUCAUUGACAACGAUGGUGUUCCGGUCGCCACCGAUUUUUCGGUGGGAGGCUUGACCCACGAAACAAACCUUGACCUCAAAUCGGGUGAGACUACCCGCUGAACUUAAGCAUAUC
rnacentral:rRNA from 1 species